GUGGAUUAGAUACCCUGGUAGUCCUGGCCGUAAACGAUGGGUACUAGGUGUAGGGGGUAUCGACCCCCCCUGUGCCGGAGUUAACGCAAUAAGUACCCCGCCUGGGGAGUACGGCCGCAAGGUUGAAACUCAAAGGAAUUGACGGGGGCCCGCACAAGCGGUGGAGUAUGUGGUUUAAUUCGACGCAACGCGAAGAACCUUCCCAGGGUUUGACAUUGAGUGAAAAGCUAAGAGAUUAGCUCCUCUCCUUCGGGAGACACGAAAACAGGUGGUGCACGGCCGUCGUCAACU
rnacentral:rRNA from 1 species